ACCGGUCGGCGGCAGCUUUUGUUGUUGCGUCACCGGAGUCGGGGAAGAGAGCGGCUUCCGCUGCUCGUUGGCGAAAGUUAGAGAGAGAGGAGGCCGCUGCACGGCGGCUCUGCCCGCUGAUGUCGGGCGGUGACCGUGACGGCGGUUGCUGCCGCCGAGAGAGAGGGAGAAGAGGAGGGGCGUCGGGAGAGGGGCGCGGCGUGUGUUGGUUUGUGAGGUGGGGGAAGAGUGAGAGGGAGACUUGAGGUCGAAGGGAAGGAGAGAGGAGGCGGAGCCGCCGGCCUCCGGGGACGGUGCUGCCGUCCGGUGGCGGCGGCGGGAGAGGCAGAGAGCGAGAGAGAGUGAGCGGCCGAGAGGGAGAGAGAGAUGUGUUGUGUGCGUGAGAAUGAAGGAAGAGAGGGGAAAUAGGGUAGAGUGUUGGGCUUUGAGGCUUGGGCCAAUUGGGCCGAUUUUUUUUCAUUUUUUUUAUUUCAGUUGGGCUUCUUUUGGGCCGGUUUUCUUUUGAUUUAAUUUAUCAGCUGGGCCUUUAUUUUAAUUGCUUGGGCUGUAAAAUUUUAAGAACUAGCCCUACAUUUAAUUAUUUUGGGUAGUCCAUAAUUUAAUUAAUUUGACUAUAAUUAGUUUGAUUAAUUAUUUUAAAGAUGAUUUGCAUAAAAAUAUUAAUAUUAUGUGCAUAUUUUAAGUUAUUACUUAUUAUAUGCUAAGCAUGACAUGCAUUUGCAUAUGCAUUUUGCAAUAAAAGUAUUUAUGAUUUAAUUGGUUUUAAUUAUAAUUCCAAUUUUUAAAGAAAAUCGAGUAAGGAUAUUGUUGGUGUCCUUAACUCAAGAAAAUUAGUUUUCAAUUAUUUAUUCAUUAAAUUUUUGAAAACCCGGCUAAGUGAAUCAUAGAAUAUUAAGCACUACACCAUGACUUAAGAUUAGCUUCACGAGACCUAUUAAGAAUAGAAUUUCUUGUAGGCUUUGUGACCAGGGGGAUUAGCGCUGCUUUCCCAAGACAGGUUUAUAUGUGAUUAUGAUCUUCAGGCUUUGCCUAACCAGGUUGGCUGGCUGGUGCUGACGGGACGGAGCUGAGGCUAGAGUUAAAUUCCUAUGUUAGACUUCCGCUGUAGCACAAAAUAAUAUUUUGUCUUUUGUUUUCCCAACUUAAGAUCUUCAUGUUAAAUUUCAAAUGAUAUACCUGACCGAGCUUAGACUCUUCACUACUUAAUUUAUGCCAAUGAAUGUCGGUUGU